GUUAAACACACUAUGUUUACUGAUAUCAAUAUAUUAAUUAGUAAAUUGCUAGUUCAACUAAAAAUGCAAUUGAUUUUCUUUAGAUUUUGAUGUUUAGUUUUCUAAAUUGCAAUAGAAAUAAAACGGCAAAAAUUUUACUCGCUUCGUUACUAUUAAGGAGAAAAAGGUUUGUGACCCGGUUAUAUUAUCUACGUCAUAUCCGUAGGAGUGUCGGAUGUCGUCUCCUUCAACCUCUUGCUUCUCACAGCCGCGCCAUCUUGGAGACGGUUGCCAUGCCAACGGGCAACGACAGUCCGACCUGAUCCAUUUUUAUCAAGGGUGAGAAACGGAAAAUAAAUCGGUCGAUGAAAUGAAUGAAGUUAAAAAUUUGUGUGAACAACUGAUUUUACCAUUAUUUUAACUGAAUCAAAUUUUUUUCAUAUUUAAUUAUAUUUUAUUAAAAACCA
rnacentral:lncRNA from 1 species